rnacentral:rRNA from 1 species
GAAAGGUGCAAGCGUUGUUCGGAUUUACUGGGCGUAAAGAGGUCGUAGGUGGUUUCUUAAGUCGGGUGUGAAAUCCCAGGGCUCAACCCUGGAACUGCACUCGAUACUGGCAGGCUAGAGUUUGGGAGGGGUAAGCGGAAUUCCGUGUGUAGCAGUGAAAUGCGUAGAUAUACGGAGGAACACCUGAGGCGAAGGCGGCUUACUGGACCAAUACUGACACUGAGGAUCGAAAGCGUGGGUAGCAAACAGGAUUAGAUACCCUGGUAGUCCACGCCCUAAACGAUGUCAACUAGCCGUUGGAAGCCUUGAGCUUUUAGUGGCGCASUAACGCAUUAAGUUGACCGCCU